AUUGAACGCUGGCGGCAGGCCUAACACAUGCAAGUCGAACGAGAGGCGGACGGGUGAGUAAGGUAUGUGAAACUGCCCGAUGGAGGGGGAUAACUACUGGAAACGGUAGCUAAUACCGCAUACCAUCGGAUGUGCCCAGAUGGGAUAUGCUAGUAGGUGGGGUAACGGCCUACCUAGGCGACGAUCAGUAGCCGACCUGAGAGGGUGAUCGGCCACACUGGAACGGAGACACGGCCCAGACUCCGACGGGAGGCAGCAGUGGGGAAUAUUGCACAAUGGGCGCAAGCCUGAUGCAGCCAUGCCGCGUGUAUGAAGAAGGCCUUCGGGUUGUAAAGUACUUUCAGCGGGGAGGCGUUACUCGCAGAAGAAGCACCGGCUAACUCCGUGCCAGCAGCCGCGGUAAUUC
rnacentral:rRNA from 1 species